UACAGAGGGGGCAAGCGUUGUUCGGAAUUACUGGGCGUAAAGGGCGCGUAGGCGGUUGGAUAAGUCAGCUGUGAAAACCACGAGCUCAACUUGUGGCCUGCAGUUGAAACUGUCUGGCUAGAGUGUGGGAGAGGGAAGUGGAAUUCCUGGUGUAGCGGUGAAAUGCGUAGAUAUCAGGAGGAACACCGGUGGCGAAGGCGGCUUCCUGGACCACAACUGACGCUGAGGCGCGAAAGCUAGGGGAGCAAACAGG
rnacentral:rRNA from 1 species